rnacentral:misc_RNA from 1 species
CAUUUUCUGACGAACAAGUCCACCGGAUAAGCAAAUCUCCUCACACCUAACAACGACUACUCUCUGUCCAUUAAGCAAUUCUUUAGCUAAAAUCGAAGAUAAUCUUCCCAGCAUAUGGUGGCGAGCGUCCACCACUAUCCUCUUUGCUGAGAUCCCUGAACCUGACACCAUUUUCUCUCUCUACUCUCUCUCUAGAGCUCUGUCGAAUUGAG